rnacentral:rRNA from 1 species
UAGGGAAUCUUCCACAAUGGACGCAAGUCUGAUGGAGCAACGCCGCGUGAGUGAAGAAGGGUUUCGGCUCGUAAAACUCUGUUGUUAAAGAAGAACAUAUCUGAGAGUAACUGUUCAGGUAUUGACGGUAUUUAACCAGAAAGCCACGGCUAACUACGUGCCAG